AGAGACAGGCAGAGACAGGUAGAGACAGGCAGAGACAGGUAGAGACAGGCAGAGACAGGCAGAGACAAGCAGAGACAAGCAGAGACAGGCAGAGACAAGCAGAGACAGGCGGAGACAGGUAGAGACAGGUAGAGACAGGCAGAGACAGGCAGAGACAAGCAGAGACAAGCAGAGACAGGCAGAGACAAGCAGAGACAGGCGGAGACAGGUAGAGACAAGCAGAGACAGGCGGAGACAGGUAGAGACAAGCAGAAACAGGCAGAGACAGGUAGAGACAGGCAGAGACAGGCAGAAACAGGUAGAGACAGGUAGAGACAGGCAGAAACAGGUAGAGACAGGCAGAGACAGGUAGAGACAGGUAGAGACAGGCAGAGACAGGUAGAGACAGGCAGAGACAGGCAGAAACAGGUAGAGACAGGUAGAGACAGGCAGAAACAGGUAGAGACAGGCAGAGACAGGCGGAGACAGGUAGAGACAGGCGGAGACAGGUAGAGACAGGUAGAGACAGGCAGAGACAGGCAGAGACAGGUAGAGACAGGCAGAGACAGGCAGAGACAGGCAGAGACAGGUAGAGACAGGUAGAGAUAGGUAGAGACAGGCAGAGACAGGUAGAGACAGGUAGAGACAGGUAGAGAUAGGUAGAGACAGGCAGAGACAGGUAGAGACAGGUAGAGAUAGGUAGAGACAGGCAGAGACAGGUAGAGACAGGUAGAGACAGGUAGAGGAGGAGGACAGAUAAACAGAGUGAUGUCAGCUGAUCUUGUCUCAGCUGUUACAGUCAGUCAGAGGAUGACAGCGUCUUUUUCUAACACGGUCAAUAAAGUUUGGGUAUUUGAGCUGAGGAUGUCCUGCGUCCUGUCAUGGACACUGGGGGCUGUUAGGCUGGGGGACCUGAGGUGAUCGGAUUUAUUAGCAGGAGUAUUUUGGGGACGUUGGUGAGUCGAUGUGGGCUUCAGUUUUUGGUCUUUGGUUUGGGGGCUUGGGGUUUGUUAGAAAAUAAACCUGAAGAGUAGAUGGAAAUAAGUUGUUUGUUUUAGGACAGGAGGACAGACUGUGUCUCACAUGGACACUGUAGAGGACAUCAUGUUUUUCAUGUUUUAGGACCAACGUUUUUUGAAAUUUGAAAUAUGGGAUCAAAUCUGACUUCUGUUUUAUCACCUGUGACCUAUCUGUGUUCAUCUGAUUGACAUGUGAAUGACCCACAGAUUCAAGUGAACCAAUCAGACACCUGAGAUUCACUUGAACCAAUCAGACACCUGAGAUUCAUGAUGUCACUCAGAUACUGGUUGACUCUCUUCAGGUCUCGGAGCUCCAGGUUCAGACUCAUUAAUAACACAGAGGAAACUGAAGCGAACAGUUUGAUGGUUUGGAGACAAACACAGUGACGUUUCUUUGGUUUGUAAAAUAUCUGACCAAACGCAGAAUAAUAAAAGUCUCAGAAACCAAGUUUCAUUUUCAUAAUUAAAAAAGUUAUCAAAUAAAAAACGAGUCAGUGAAUCAGGUCAUUUUUCUGUGAGCUCAUAAAGAAAACUAUUGUUACUGCGCUCCCCAAUUAGUCAAUCAAUCAGUCAAUCAAUCAAUCCAUCAUAUUCUGUGGAGCCAUAUUACCCUCCAUGUUUACCGCAAUGUUUGUUAACCUGCCGUCUCCUGUCCUGUCGUAUCUGACUCGUUGCUACAUUUUAGAUGGGGUCACGUUACCGUACUCGAGGAGACCACACGACUUCCUGUGCAUCACUUCCUGUGUUGUAAACACGAGCAUACAAGUUUGAACAUAGCCAGUAACGGUGUUUUUGGCUCAAUACUGCCACCCAUCUGUCCGUCAGGUGAACAGCAUUAAAGUGGCGGCAGAACAACGCCUUCAUGUCCAUCUUUGACUUCAGCAGGGUCCUUUAAAGGAGCGGUGUGUGAAAGGUUCACUGACAGUCUGUAAAUCCGACACACAGCUCCUUUACAUCUGCUAAAACAAACCGUUAAAGUUUUCCAAACACUCUUCAGUCCAGUGGACAGGUGGAGAUUCUGGGUGGUGUUGAGUUGGGAGGUUGAGAUUUUAGAGAUGUUGUUAGGAGGUAAUGAUGGAUGUAUUUUGGGAUGUUCAGUGUGUAGGCGGUGGGGUUAAGAUGAGUCACCUCUGAAGAGAUGAGAUAAGUCAAUGUUGAAAUGAGACUGAUAAAGAAUCAAUCAGCUGCUUUACUUUUAGAAGACCUACGGGUGGAGUUAGAGGGUGGUACCACAUCUGAAAAAGACUCAAACAAAACAAACUCUACGUCAGUCACUAUGACUACUCAUGCUGCUACAAUAAUGACAUCACAGGUUAGUGAGUCACCUGUCUGUUGCAUCUCAGAUGUUUAUCCUGUUCACCAUGUGUCACAAAGGUCCCUCACCUUUAUCUUACCUGUUAGUGACAUCACAAUGACCCAAUCACCCCCCCCCCCCCCCAGGAUAAACAGCAGACAUCUUGUGAAACGCUGAUAAACAGGAAGCGAAGCAACGCUGCAGUGGCUGACAUGACCACCAGGUGACGCAUGUUAGUGUCAGAGGAGGUGAUGGGAGAGGGGGGUGGGCGGUCUCGCAGCCGAGGAUUGUGGGAGGAGUUUCCUCUGGUUUGGUGACUGGUGUCAGGGUGUUUGUGCUGCAUCUGCUCCUCGGUCUAAACACGUGGUGGACGUGUUGUUGAACACGUGUCAGUGUCAGAGGUCAUACCAGCUGACCUGUAAAGGGUUAGAACACACCUCAGCUCUGAAUGUGUGUGUGACGUUCAAUAAGUGCUAAACCGCAGGAACUGAAUCAAUAAACACCAUCAAACUAUCAGACCUGACAGCCACUGGGUUGCCAUGGAAACAAGCUGCAACAGCUCAGUCGUACAUGCAGCGAGUGGUCGACACGGCGAGGACAAACACCAACAUUAAAACUUGAAGGUUUUGUCUCAGGUCUCAGAUGAACAGGUGACACACAUGUUUAUAUUAACAUAUAUUAAAAUAUAUUUACUGAAACCUGCACCCAGCAUUUCUACAGCCUGAAGAUAAAGAUGCGUAGCUGGACGAGUUCACUGAGCUCAGAAGGUUUAUAUUAUAAAACCUGUGUGUGUAACUUCCUGU